UUAGAUCUCAAAUCAGGCAGGAUUACCCGCUGAACUUAAGCAUAUCAAUAAGCGGAGGAAAAGAAACUAACAAGGAUUCCCCUAGUAGCGGCGAGCGAAGCGGGAAAAGCUCAAAUUUGUAAUCUGGCGUCUACGACGUCCGAGUUGUAAUCUCGAGAAGUGUUUUCCGUGUUAGACCGCAUACAAGUCUCUUGGAACAGAGCGUCAUAGUGGUGAGAACCCAGUACACGAUGCGGAUGCCUAAUACUUUGUGAUACACUUUCGAAGAGUCGAGUUGUUUGGGAAUGCAGCUCAAAUUGGGUGGUAAAUUCCAUCUAAAGCUAAAUAUUGGCGAGAGACCGAUAGCGAACAAGUACCGUGAGGGAAAGAUGAAAAGCACUUUGGAAAGAGAGUUAACAGUACGUGAAAUUGUUGGAAGGGAAACACAUGCAGCCAGACUUGCUAUUCGGGGCAACUCGAUUGGCAGGCCCGCAUCAGUUUUUCGGGGCGGAAAAGCAUAAAGAGAAGGUAGCAGUUUCGGCUGUGUUAUAGCUCUUUAUUGGAUUCGCCCUGGGGGACUGAGGAACGCAGCGUACUUUUUGCAUAAGCUUCGGCUUAUCUACGCUUAGGAUGCGGGUGUAAUGGCUGUAUAUGACCCGUCUUGAAACACG
rnacentral:rRNA from 1 species